GGGAUGCCAGCGGUGGCACCGCCAGAUCCGACGGUUGCACUACCUGGCGCUCGGGCGCCAGGCGGUGACACCGCUCGGUUUGGCAGUGGCACCGACCGAGCGACCCUUAUUAACCCGAGGGGUUAGGGCCAGCGGUGACACCGCCCCCAACCCGAAAAAAAGGCUCUUAAAACCCUCUCCCAUUCCCUCUAACCCUCAUUCUAACUCUUAGAAGCAUUGGAGAAGGAUUCUUGGUGGUCCAAGCCUUCCAUCUCUCAACAUAAUCUCCAUAAGGUAACACUUGAAAUCCCUCUUU
rnacentral:lncRNA from 1 species